rnacentral:rRNA from 1 species
AUACGUAGGGGGCGAGCGUUGUCCGGAAUUACUGGGUGUAAAGGGCCCGUAGGCGGUUAUUUAAGUCAGCUGUGAAAGUCCAGGGCUUAACCCUGGAAUUGCAAUUGAAACUGAAUAACUUGAGAUAAGGAGAGGAGAGCGGAAUUCCUAGUGUAGCGGUGAAAUGCGUAGAUAUUAGGAAGAACACCAGUGGCGAAGGCGGCUCUCUGGCCUUACCCUGACGCUGAGGGGCGAAAGCGUGGGUAGCGAACAGGAUUAGAUACCCUGGUAGUCCACGCCGUAAACGAUGAGUGCUAGGUGUUGGGUGUCAAAGCUCAGUGCCGGAGUUAACACAAUAAGCACUCCACCUGGGGAGUACGACCGCAAGGUUGAA